GGAGAGGAGAGAGGCCUGAGAGCCAAGGUUUUCAGGUCAGAUUAGCGCCAUAGACUUCAGUCUUUUCUGAAGUGAGCGUGCAGAGCAGAUGCACAGCCUUCCGUCUGUUCUGGUGAUAAACCAACCUUGUCUUGAUGGCUGGACUUGGACAAAAAACCCAUGUGCGGCCAUGACAACCUUGCUUCCCUGCCCCACUCAAUGGCAAGCACACUGAAGGCACUUUCCACCUGAAAUCAACCAGUGAAGGAGCCUCUAUACAACCUGAAGGACAGGAAGAGAGCUACAGAAGGAGAGCUUCCGGAUUGGUGGACACAGGAGGAUGCAGGGGGAGUGGUGCCCGGAGAGGGCAUGAAAGCUGUGCCCAGACGCCGUUGAGAGCCUAGAGGAUGCUGUCAGUUACACUGGACAAAACUGUACACAAGACUGUACUGGGCCCCCAGCUGAUGCCCACUUCCUUAAAGAGGAGGAACUCAAGACUGUCAGCGCAAACUGAUGUAAAACCUGUGGUAUCAGCCAGCUCGUUCAUAGAAGCCUGUCUGAUCUGUCCUUGCUUGCCUGCCUGCGACAAUGACGUCCACCCGCCAGCCAUGGAAACUUGGCAGACCCACUGGCCUUUGCGAACUUGUCUUCUUUUCUGUCAAAGGAGCUGAGUCCUCUUCCCAGGCCUGUUCAGGGACUCAGCACUGACUAAGGAG